CGGGGGUCUUGUCUUCUGCCAUUGGUGAGACGGAGCCCUGGGCUAGGGGCACCCUUUGGUCUGACACAGGUAGGCACCUCCCAUGUUCUGCAUUCCUGCCUUACAGUAGUAGACAAGAAUCAAAGCCUUGGACUAUCAUUUUCCAGCAUGACAAGAAUGGUACUUACUGAAAUGAUACUCAGCCAGCUGAGAAGGUCUGUCGGUUUGGGUAAAUCAGAACUUUUUUUGCACUAGUAAGGAUGUGCCAAUGCCCUGGAACCAGGCUGAAGGUUGCAUCUUCAUGAAGGCGGCAUGAGGGGGAGCAGUGGUGAUUGCUGUCAUCUGUGUGAGACUCCUGGCUGUACCUCCGAGACCUGUAUCUCACUUUCA